AGGGAAUCUUCCACAAUGGACGCAAGUCUGAUGGAGCAACGCCGCGUGAGUGAAGAAGGUUUUCGGACCGUAAAGCUCUGUUGUUGGUGAAGAAGGAUAGAGGUAGUAACUGGCCUUUAUUUGACGGUAAUCAACCAGAAAGUCACGGCUAACUACGUGCCAGCAGCCGCGGUAAUACGUAGGUGGCAAGCGUUGUCCGGAUUUAUUGGGCGUAAAGCGAGCGCAGGCGGAAGAAUAAGUCUGAUGUGAAAGCCCUCGGCUUAACCGAGGAAUUGCAUCGGAAACUGUUUUCUUGAGUGCAGAAAAAGGA
rnacentral:rRNA from 1 species